UAUGUGCAGUGUCACAUGUUUAUUGUAGAUUGUCACAUGACCAGAGCUGUUUACUUCCUGGUUGCACCAUGAGAAGAGGAUGGCUGCAUCAAAGCUCCCAAACAAAAGUUUCACUUUGAGUCAAGUUCUGGAUAUGUUGGAUCUAGGUGACUGCCCAGACAAGGCGUGCAACAUUGCAGUUAUCCCUCAGAGAUUGUGAUAGCGAUGGGUCAGAUAUGGACUAUGAGGGGGAGACAGGCCAUUUGCCAGCCAGGCUGUUGAAUGUAUAUGCUGAACCUAUGCAAACAGAUCAUGACAGGAACAACGUUAUCAGUAAUGAUGACCUACCCCUCACCACCCCACACUCUCCUCCCUGAGACUGGGUUGGGUCAUGGACCCAGUGUCGUACUUGGUGUUGCAGAGCAAUCUCAAGUGCCUCAAGGUUGCAAGUUCCUUCAUGACAACCUCUUCACUAUGCUUGCACUCCUCGAUGAAAUGACAAAAAGAGGAUAUGGGCGCACUGGAACGAUGAGGCAAAAUCGUCUGUUUGAUGUCCCAUUCAAGCCACAGAAAGACUUCAUGAAGUUACCCCGGGGAAACCUCUGAGGUUCUGACCCAAGGAGACAAGUUGCUGGUCCGUUAGAAAGACAAUAACAUUGUCACAGUGGCAACAAACAUGGAGGAGAAAUACAGUGAGACCUCUGUCAAGAGAUGGAACAAGGAGCAAUGUACCUUUUGUCAAAAGUCUUACAACAAAAUGCAUCAACCGAUACAAUGAGCACAUGGGUGGUGUUGAACUUCACAACCUACAGGUUUCAAGAUACCAAAUCUCCAUCAGGUCUAAGAAGUGGUGGUGGCCCAUCUUUGCAUGGUCUCAACAGUGCACUCGUAAACAGCCAUUUAUUUUACAGAGAUGUUAUGGGAGGGACAAUCGACCUGCUCACCUUCUCAUGGAUAGUGGCACAGUCUCUUAUGCAAAAGUUUGGCACGAAACCACUGAGCCACAGAAGGAGAUCUCUACUGGCUGCUACUGUUGAAGAUCAGGCAAGAUAUGACACAGCUUCUCACUGGCCAAUCAACACGAUGCACCGGUUCCAGAGAUGUCGUCAUUGUGACAAACGCACUACCUAUGCAUGUGAGAAAUGCAAAGUACCACUGCACAUUGAGUGCUUCAAGAUAUACCACGGACAGUAGAAAAGGAGAUAAGAGCGAAUGAAAAAGCCAAUAAAAGAAAAAUAGAAAA